CCUUGUGCAGUUUCCUUUGGGGUGAGAGGAUUAUGAAAGUUUGACUAUGUUCCACCGGCUGCAAGCGCGGGAGGGGCUCGGAGCCAGCGAUAGAUUGCAGAUGAAAGGGGAGAAAGAAGGGGGAAGAUGUUAAUGAAGCGGAGGGGAAGAGACAAGAGGUCCCUGGGGACUCGGACGCCUCCUGGGACUUGUUUCGCUGUGAGGCCACGCUGGCCCCCACGUCCACAGCUCCACGUGGAGAAGAUGUGUCAGAGGAUGUUCUGGGUCAGCCAUGGGAAGAGAUCACGUCUGAGCAGAUAACAGCUUUCUGCUAAAUUACCACUGAUGCUACUGAUGUCGGGGAGCGUAAAUAAAGAGAAUUGGCUUGAGCUGUAAAGUAUAGUACAGAUUAGUUGAAAUGGUCUGAAUCUGACUUGUCUUGUUCCAAUGCCUGUAUACGUGCAUGUGACUGUAUCGACAUGCUCCUGCACAAACAUACUUUGACAACAAAUAGUGUCUAUAGUAUUUAAAUCCAUCCUUCAAACUCAUUAUACUCUUUUCAAUGGUGUUUGCCCACUAUUCUCCGUGAGUGGCGUGCAGCGCUCUGCUACGUCAUCUUGUGUGCAGCUCUGCUUUUCUUCAACAAUUUACCACUUUAAAAGGCAGAGUAGCCAAUCUGCAGACAAUCGUCCCCAGUAACACUAUCUGGGCCCUGCUGAUAAAAUGCAGAUGUGGCUCCUCUCAAUGUGAAUUUGUGACCCAUUAAGUGGAGCCCCUCCUUUUUCCUCACCACCCCAUCCCUCCUCUUGGCAGAGACCCCAGACCGCCUUUUCACAUGCAUUCCCCAAAAGCAGGUAUGUGCAUAGUUUCAGGCUAACGAGUCACAAUGGCGAAUUUGUUCAACAAGGAGCACCGCAUUACUUUAAUCCAAGCGUGGCUCUCCCUCUCUUUGAGAUCUGCGGACUAGAUUGUCGCAGUCUCCCCAGCGUCUCGUUUAGGGACGGACAAAAGGUGAAUUCAAGCGCUCCCUUUCAGGUUCACGAGACCUGACUAUAGUCUAUUGAUGUCAAGUUUCCCCUCAGUCUCCCAAAAUGUCUCCAUUGGUUGGUCAUGACUGCAGUGUGGUUCUACUUCAGUUAUAACAACAAUGAAAGUAACGAAUUGAAUUGUAUAAUUAUGACUGAAAUACAUACGUAGCAAGUCUCAUGUUCAACGAGACGUGUGUUAACUUUCCCACAAUGAUCCACAUUUGUUACCUUAAUCUUUGUCAAUACCUGUACAUGUUUAUUCUUUGUGUUCGACAGCAUGUAUGCUGUAUGUUGAUGUUUGAUCGCAGAAUAAUACAGAGCCAGGCAUGAAACAUGUUUUGCAUGUUUAUACAAUGAGCCGAUUGAUACUGUCAUUAUCUAGACCUCAGAUAUCUAUGUUGGCUGCAAACUGCAAUGACCCGAAUAUUUCUAUAACAGAUGCCUAAAGAUUGUGGUUGAAGAAAGAAGCACACAUAUACAUAAACAAAACAUGUAAAUACAUGAUUAACAUGCUGCAUUCCCAUGGUGUCGAAU
ensembl:lncRNA